rnacentral:lncRNA from 1 species
GAUUUCUGUGCACUUUUGCACUCCUGGGCUCCAUCUGGGAGAAGAAGUGCCAAAACCGCCAUUCGAAAGACUGCCCUGGAGGUAUUUUCAGUCGGACUAGAAGCAGCAGGCUCUCCAGGAACCAGAAACCGGGCUUCACUACUCUCCCCUGUGAGAACCGUCAGUGGUGAGCAAAUGUGCAUAAGGAUUUUGUUUACACGUAUAACUACGUACCACAUGUGUGCCUGUUACUCAGGGAAACCAGGAGUUACAAACAGCUGGGAGCCACCACAUGGAUGCUGGGGACUGAGCAAGCAUCCUCUGCAAGAGCAGCAAGUGCUCUCAACCACUGAGUCAUCUCUCCAGACCCAGACAAGUG